GCAAGUCGAACGGUAACAGAGGGAGCUUGCUCCCUGCUGACGAGUGGCGCACGGGUGCGUAACGCGAAUACAAUCUUCCUUUUACAGGAGGAUAGCCUUUAGAAAUGAAGAUUAAUACUCCAUGGUAUUAUUGAUUGGCAUCAAUUAAUAAUUAAAGCUUUGGUGGUAAAAGAUGAGUAUGCGUUCUAUUAGCUAGAUGGUGUGGUAACGGCACACCAUGGCAACGAUAGAUAGGGGCCCUGAGAGGGUGAUC
rnacentral:rRNA from 1 species